GAUGAACGCUGGCGGCGUGCCUAAUACAUGCAAGUCGAGCGAACAGACGAGGAGCUUGCUCCUCUGACGUUAGCGGCGGACGGGUGAGUAACACGUGGAUAACCUACCUAUAAGACUGGGAUAACUUCGGGAAACCGGAGCUAAUACCAGAUAACAUGUUGAGCCGCAUGGUUCAACAGUGAAAGACGGUCUUGCUGUCACCUAUAGAUGGAUCCGCGCCGCAUUAGCUAGUUGGUAAGGUAACGGCUUACCAAGGCAACGAUGCGUAGCCGACCGGAGAGGGUGAUCGGCCACACUGGAACUGAGACACGGUCCAGACUCCUACGGGAGGCAGCAGUAGGGAAUCUUCCGCAAUGGGCGAAAGCCUGACGGAGCAACGCCGCGUGAGUGAUGAAGGUCUUCGGAUCGUAAAACUCUGUUAUUAGGGAAGAACAAAUGUGUAAGUAACUAUGCACGUCUUGACGGUACCUAAUCAGAAAGCCACGGCUAACUACGUGCCAGCAGCCGCCGUAA
rnacentral:rRNA from 1 species